rnacentral:misc_RNA from 1 species
AUCGCCGCCUCUCACACACUGCAGUUACUUGCCCCGUACUUUGUUUUUACUCUCUCUCAAUUCCGUAGCGUGCACACCUGCACAUAUAUAUUUGCAUUCAUGAGCGACUUUGACUGGGCUGUGAUUCAAAAGGCCGUGGAGGCCGAGUGGGACGCCUCCAUCAUUCCUGCGCUGUCCGCCUACAUUGAAGUGCCGAAUCAGAGCCCCGACUUCGACCCCCAGUGGGCAACGAACGGACUCAUAAAAAAGGCCUUUACCAUUCUGAUCAACUGGAUGGAGGGGCAGAACCUGCUGGGCCUCAGCUACGAGUUCAUGGAGGUCGAGGGAAGAACGCCGUUCCUCCUCGUCGAAAUCGCCGGGACAGAGCCGACGAAGAACACCCUGCUCAUGUACGGCCACAUGGAUAAGCAGCCGCCUCUCUACCCGUGGGACGAAGGCCUUGACCCCCACAAGGCGGUCGUGCGCGAUGGCAAGCUGUACGGCCGCGGCGGCGCUGACGACGGCUACGCGCUCUUUUCGGCCAUCACGUCCGUCUCGGUACUGCAGCGCCACGGCAUUCCGCACGGUCGAGUGAUCGUGGUCAUCGAGGCGUGCGAAGAGUCUGGCAGCUUCGACCUGGACUACUACAUGGAGCGCUGCAAGGAACGCAUCGGCAACGUGGAUUUGAUGGUGUGCCUAGACAGCGGCUGUCUCAACUACUCACAGGUAUGGCUGACGACGUCGUUGCGUGGUGUGACGGGUGGUGUGCUGAACGUGCAGACGCUGACGGAGAGCAUGCACAGUGGCGUCGCCGGCGGCGUCGUACCGGACACGUUCCGCAUUGCGCGUGAGCUGUUGGACCGCGUUGAGGAUUCAAAGACCGGAAAGGUGCUCUUCCCUGAGGCCUACUGCGAGAUUCCCGACUACGUUGUCAAGUCCAUGGAGUCGAUGAGGGUCGUGCCGUUCAAGGAGCAGUUUGCCACGGCCGACGGCGUGUCGACAGAGCCAGGCGACAAUGUGGAGCUGGCGCUGCGGAACUUUUGGAAGCCGAGCCUCACCGUGACAGGGGCCAACCUGCCGGAGCCACAGAUUGCCGGCAACGUAAUCCGGACGCACACCUCACUGAAGCUGUCCCUCCGCGUGCCGCCGCUGGUGGACGCGGAGAAAGCUACCCAGGCCAUGGCCAAGUUGCUUGUGGCCAACCCGCCGUACGGCGCUAAGGUGUGGUUUCAGCCCGAGGUUCCCGGCCAUGGCUGCGCGACCCCAGAGCUGAAGCCGUGGCUCGUGACCGCGCUCAAUGAGAGCAGCAAGAUGGCGUACGGCAACCCGCUCGCAUUCCAGGGCAUGGGCGGGGCGAUCCCAUUCAUCUCCAUGCUCAUCAAAUCAUACCCGCAAGCGCAGUUCGUUGUCACCGGCGUCCUCGGUCCAAAGAGCAACGCGCACGGCCCCAAUGAGUUUCUGCACAUCAAAUAUGCUAAAGGCCUCACGUUCGCCAUCAGCCGCGUUGUCGCCGAGCACUUUCGCCACACUCUCAAGUAACAGUGCUGCCGAGCAGCCUCGCUGACCCUCUCUUUUUCUGGCGCUUUCACCUUACGCUAUGCUAGUGUAGAUGUGACGGCUUCGUCGACCAUAC